CGCAUCGAGGUGUGGGACCACCACGCUCCUCAGCUCCGUUGCUCAGGCGUCUCCUUUGCACGUUACAUCAUCGAGUCUAAGGGUCUCUACUUGCCCUCUUUCUUCAACACAGCAAAGCUCUCCUUUGUGGCUAAAGGUUCGUACGAUCCUUUUUAUAUCGAAAUUCAUAUUCAUGACUUAUGGUUCAUGCUUUUUAGUAUUCGUCCAUAAGUUUUUAACUUUAAUUAAAGCUAUAUAAUUUAUAUGUGUUCGAUUGUAGGACGAGGUCUUAUGGGAAAAGUGAUCCCUGGAUGCGCCGAGACAUUCCAAGACUCAUCAGAGUUCCAACCACGCGGAGGCGAGCAGUUCGAGGGUCAGGGUGAAGAAGGUCAAGGUCAAGGUCAAGGUGAAAGGCAGAGGUUCCGUGACAUGCACCAGAAAGUGGAGCACAUAAGGAGCGGUGACACCAUUGCCACAACACCAGGUGUAGCACAGUGGUUCUAUAAUGACGGACAGCAACCACUUGUCAUCGUUAGCGUCUUCGAUCUAGCCAGUCACCAGAACCAGCUUGACCGCAACCCAAGGGUAUAAACCAAAACCUCAAAAAAAAAUCAUUAUAUUAAUUAGUUACAAAAUAACAAAAAAAUAAUGUGAUUAUUUUUCUUGGUGUGUUAUAUAUGAAGCCAUUUUACUUAGCCGGAAACAACCCACAAGGCCAAGUAUGGCUACAAGGACGAGAGCAACAGCCACAAAAGAACAUUUUCAAUGGAUUCGGACCCGAGGUUAUUGCUCAAGCUUUGAAGAUCGAUCUUAAGACAGCGCAACAACUUCAGAACCAAGAAGACAACCGUGGAAACAUUGUCCGAGUCGAAGGCCCUUUCGGUGUCAUUAGGCCACCUUUGAGGGGCCAGAGACCUCAGGAGGAGGAGGAAGAAGAAGGACGACACGGACGACACGGUAAUGGCUUAGAGGAGACCAUCUGCAGCGCCAGGUCCACUGAUAACCUCGAUGACCCGUCUCGUGCUGACGUGUACAAGCCACAGCUUGGUUACAUCAGCACUCUCAACAGUUACGAUCUUCCCAUCCUUCAUCUUGGCCUAAUAUGUCCAACAACACCACAAUGAUGGCAAACAGGUCGAAAAACUCGUCGAGGUGCACUCCGCAAUGUUGGCAUGCAUGCAUUUGAAUAAGGGUGAACAUUUUGAGUGUUCGGUUUGUUAUAAUAUAUGUCCAUUUCUACAAUCUAAACUUGACUCUUGCAACGUGUGUGGGUGUAGAACGCAAUGGUGCUUCCACAGUGGAACGCAAACGCGAACGCGAUUCUUUACGUGACAGACGGAGAAGCCCAAAUCCAGAUCGUAAACGACAACGGUAACAGAGUGUUUGACGGACAAGUCACUCAAGGACAGCUAAUUGCCAUACCACAAGGUUUCUCGGUGGUGAAACGCGCAACAAAUAACCGAUUCCAGUGGGUUGAGUUCAAAACAAACGCAAACGCGCAAAUCAACACUCUUGCUGGACGAACCUCAGUCUUGAGAGGUUUACCAUUGGAGGUCAUAACCAAUGGGUUCCAAAUCUCACCCAAAGAAGCAAGGAGGGUCAAGUUCAACACGCUCGAGACCACUCUGACUCACAGCAGUGGCCCAGCUAGCUACGAAAGGCCAAGGGUGGCUGAAGCUUGAAAGCUUAAAAUGGCGGCAUAACAAUGAACCCCUACUGUAAAAGGAAGUUAAAUAGUACGUAGUAAUAAUAAUAAUAAUGUACGAAAAUGUGACUAGUUUUGUUGAGGUUUACCUGUAAAAUGCCACUCCUUUUCUGAAUAAAAAAACUUUCUUUUCAAUCAAGUUAGGUCUAAAUUAGGGUUCUUAGAGACUAGUUCUGACUUCUGAAUGAGCUCAGAACGGAUAUAGACUCAAACGGAAGCCGGAAACUUUGGACUUUCACUCUACAUUUGAGUUUCAUUAUCUAAAUAUUAUGUUCUCACAAUUUAUUUAGAACAAUCAUUUUCAAAGCAAAGGUUCUGUCAAAUAUCAACUUUUCUUUUUAAGUUAGCAAAGCGAAGGUAGUUAUUCAAAAAUUUAUAUAAAAUGAUCAAAAUUUAUAAAUUCGUUUAUAUUAUACUUGAACCUUAAUUUAUUUGUAGCACUUCACUGAAAUUUUUAGAAACCUAUAAGAUAAUAUUAUAAUAAAUUUCACCUAUGUGCAUGAGCCAUGAUAUAUACUUUCUGUGCCUGUUUUUGUUUUUUUAACAUGUUCUACUAAACACUUAUCUGUGAUGCAGAGCACCUCCAUCAAGAUAUCUUGAUGGGGUUCUCCUCUAUUUUAAAAUUGAAAAUAUUGAAAAAGUAGAAAAGAGAUUAAGAAAGAGUUUUCAUUUGAGAAUCUUUGAUCUCUUGUUUUGAUAUCCAUUUUGACACUUAACAUUAUAUUAUAUGAUUAGUUUAGCUUUUAUAUGAUUUGAAAUUUAAAUAAAAGUUAAAACUAAUAAGAUAAUAUAUUUAAAAGAUCUAAGAGCAUCGGCAAUGGUGAGUUCUAACCCAUCUCUCACGAAUAAAAUAAAGAAAAAAAUAUAAAAAGGAGGAGGGAGGUAGAGAAACGUUUCUCUUUUGAGAAACCCAUCACAAAUGUUUCUUACAAUUGUCAUUCAAUCAUUGGUCUAUUUAAAAUACUUUCAAUUAAAUAUUUAUAAUAUUUGUGUUCACACCUAUAUAUGUAUUCACACUUGAGUUAGAUACGGAAGUUGAGAAACUUCCGUUGUUGAUGCUCUAAUAGGAUUCUUAAUGAAGAUGCUCUAAAAGUCAUAACCAAAGUCGGCUUUGAGGCCAAGCAAAUGCGGCCUUGUACAGUAUAAUUAAAAUUUUUGGUCCUAUAUAUAUUUCAAUGAGUUUUCUUUAGUUCGGUUGGUAGCGUGAAUAAUUGUGAAUGGUAAGGUGUCGAAUCCAAGUCUUUCUUUACCAGCUAUCUCGUUUAAUUUUUAUUUGUUUCACUCUUUCAGUAAUUCGUCAAGCCAAAAUUUUGGCCUGCGGCCCAUUUAUACUCUCGAGCAGCUCUGGUCAUAACGAUCGAUACAACUUGAUUGGUUAGAUGGCCAAAAACAUAGAAAUGGUAGAGUGGAAGUCCAGAGUUUGAUCAAUGUACGAUAUGAGGCUGAACCUGGUGUUCCAGUCUGGUGUUUCAAUAAGUUAAGAGUUCAUUCUUUAUGUUAGUGAUAAAUUGUUUUCUUCGUAGUGGGGUUGGAACUCUCUUUGCGAUAAUGUAAGGAUUAUUAAAAAAGUGUGAGAGAAAUAGAAAGAGCUCUGCUGACGUGGCAAGGAGAAAUUAAGGCGAUUAGGGUUUUUUUUGCUUUCUCAUCAAGUUUGAUGCCGCCGGAGGCUUCUCCGAGUCGUCUGGGGGAUUUCCGGUGCCGGGAGAUGGAGUGGUAUCUCCGGUAAUCGCAGCGAGUCAGGUAGAAGAGUUUCCGGUGUUGACAAUGGGAGAUGACAAAGAGGUUUCAUCGGAGGGUUUAAGAGAAAGUCAAUCCGACAAAGUUCACAAAGUUUCAUCAUCAAAUCAAACGAAGGUACAUCAGAAUACUAAGAGAUCGUUUCUUCAAGUGGCGCAGAAGCGAAUCUUUACUCAACAAAAGUUUGUGGUCUCAGAAGUUGAUGGCUGCGAGAAGGUUGUGGUGCCAAAGGAAGUGUUCGUCGGAGCAAAACCGAUUGGGGGGAUUUUUUUAUUGGGAAAUUUUUGAAUGAGAAAGCACCGCAAGUGGGUAAGAUUCAUAUGAUAGUGAAUAAGAUAUGGAGAUUGGGGGUUCACACUUCUUUGAUAGAUGUUUUUGAGGUGAAUGAGUCGACAGUUAAAUUUCGUAUCCGCAACCAAGGUAUGAGACACAUAAUUCUUAACAGAGGCAUGUGGAAUAUCAUGGAUAUCCUCAUGAUAGUUUCCAAAUGGACGCCAUACGCGGAGGAAGCCCAACCAGCCAUGAAAUAAAUUCCACUAUGAGUCACGUUGAUGAAUGUUCCACCAACCAUGUUUACGGACAAAGGGUUGGAGUUUUUGGCUAGUGCAGUUGGUAAACCAAUGAGAUUGCAUCCUAAAACAGAGACUUUUGUAAGUUUUGAUGAGUUGCAGAUAUUGGUUGAAGCGGAUUUGACAAAAGAGCUACCAACAGAAUUCUCUUUCACGGGAGAAGAGGAAGGUGAAUUAGAUUCUAUCAUUCGUUACUCGUACCUGUGGUUACCUCCGCGGUGCACUUGUUGUAAGAAAUGGGGCCAUCUUUAUGCUACUUGUCUAUCUGCAAUAGCAGAAGAAAAUAAAGAUAAGCAAAGUCCAAACAAAGUUCAGGAGAUACUCGAGGAAACAGAGACAAAAAGCAGUCCUAUUAUUCCGGAAACUGUAACAGCUACGGAUAUGAAGGACAGUGCCAAUGAGGUGGAAAUAAAUAAGGAGGCAGCUGAAGAGAAGGGCGAGGAGGAGAAAGAAGGGUGGAUCACUCCAAAAUCAGGGAGAAGUAGUCCAGGGAAGAAGCAAGAUGGUUUAAAAUAUGGUGAAGUCUCAAUCCUGUCCAAUGCAUACUCUGUUUUGGAGCUGGAAAGAGAUGAAACAGAGGUUGCAAAAACAGAGGUCUCACGGGAGAAAAAAUCUGAGACUGUCCCCAUUAUUUCAGAGGCUUCUCAAAGGCAAGAGGUAGUCGCAAAAGGUCAUACUCAUAGAGAGGGUCCACUACAACCAUCUUUGCCGAGAGGAUCAAAAACAGCUCACAAAACACUUUCUCAUCUUCAAGCUCCAUCGGCUAGGGACUCCUCUAGAGAUCAGAGUAAGAAGAUUCCCCCCAAACACUCUUAAUGUCAGGUUUCCUAUGGAAUGUUCGCUGCCUAACAAAUCUUCAAAACAUUCCGUAAUAAAAAAGUGGGUGGAGGAAAAUAAUUUUUAAUUCGGUUGUUUGCUAGAAACAAGAGUAAGGGAGGGGAAGGCGCAGAGGUUGGGAAGCCAGUUGUUUCGAGAUUGGUCCAUUUUAACAAACUAUGAGUACAACCUAUUAUCCGGGAUCCGGGAUCCGCCGAGAUCCGCUCUGGAAAACCAGAUAUACAGUCCUCCCGGAUCUGAAUCCGGAUAUCAAAAUGUGAGAUCCAUCGAAACCGGAUCCGGAUCCGAAUAUCAAAAUUGUUGGACACGGAAAUCCGGAUCCGGAUCCGUUUCUUAAAUUUUAUAUUUUUAUUCACUAUGGAAUGUUGACUGUUUCACGUAUCUAUCAUUUAAUAUGAAAUAUAUAUAAAUAUAAAAAUUAAAUGUCAUUAAGUGAGGUGAGCUGAAAUGAGGAAGUAUAGGUAGGCAUAUAUACAAACGUUGGAGACGUUCCCUUUUCCUAAAUAACCGAUGUGAGAUAUUUCAAAGUCUCUCUUCUCCUUUAGUGUUUUGUCCCACAUCGCUUAUAAACCCAUCUGUUUUUUUUUAGUUCCUUAUAAAUACAGCAUGUCUCCAAUUUGUCAAAGCCAUGGACGUUUGGGCUCACUUGGGCUCACGAAGCCCACUCGGAUUUAUUCCCAGAAGCCACUAAAGUUUAAUUUUUUAAUAAUUUUGACGGAUCCAAAUCCGGAUUCGGAUAUCCGGCGGAUAUCUUCCAAAGUCUCUCUUCUCCUUUAGUGUUUUGUCCCACAUCGCUUAUAAACCCAUAUGUUUUUUUUUAGUUCCUUAUAAAUACAGCAUGUCUCCAAUUUGUCAAAGCCAUGGACGUUUGGGCUCUCUUGGGAUCACGAAGUCCACUCGGAUUUAUUCCCAGCAGCCACUAAAGUUUAAUUUUUAAUAAUUUUGACGGAUCCAAUUCUGGAUCCGGAUAUCCGGCGGAUAUCAAAUAAAAAAGCGGAUAUCCGAAAGGCGGAUAUCCAUAGUCCACAGAGCCGGAUUUGGAUAUGUAAUAUCCGGCGGAUCCGGAUCUAGGCCGGAUAUCCGGAUCCGUCUCAGGGCUAAGUACAAUGCAAGAGGUCGCAUAUGGGUUUUAUGGUAGCAUAAUGUGAGACUAAGCCCUUUCUAUAAGAGUGAUCAAGUAAUCACCUGUUCGGUGAAACUGGAAAAUCAAGUGGAGGAAUUUUUUGUCUCCUUUGUGUAUGCAUCAAAUCUGGUGGCAAGAGUACGAGAUUAUUCAGAUUCACCUAUUAUUCACCAUAAGCCAUGGUUGGUCAUUGGUGAUUUUAAAGUCACACUAGAUAUGGCAGAGCAUUCAAAAGUAGAUGAUAACCCGCUGGUCACAUUGGGGAUGAGAGAUUUUCAGGCGUUGGUGAAUUAUUGUUCAAUCUCCGAUAUGGCAUCGCAUGGCCCGUUGUACACUUGGUGUAAUAAGCGGGAAAACGAUCUAAUUUUGAAGAAGUUGGAUAGAGUAUUGAUGAAUGAUGGAUGGUUAAGAGCAUUUCCACAAGCGUACAAUGUAUUCGAAGCAGGAGGGUGCUUGGAUCAUUUACGGUGUCGGAUAAUGCAAAUUGGUGGAGGUAGUGGUGUUACUCACCAUCGAAAACCAUUCAAAUUCGUCAAUGUACUCACAGAGAUGACAUAUUUCUUACCAGUGGUUGAGAAUUAUUAUAAAGAUACUGAGGAGCUAUUUUUAUCUACAUCAACGUUAUUUCGAUUUUCGAAAAAAACUGAAAGGACUCAAACCAAAGCUACGCAUUCUAGCAAAAGAAAGGGUCGGGAACUUGGUAAAGAAGGCAAAUGAGGCAUAUGACAUACUAUGUCAAAACUUGCUGAAUCCGAGCACCACUGCAAUGGAAGAGGAAAAUGAGGCUUAUAAACGAUGGGACCUUGUCGCCGGUCUGGAGGAGAAGUAUCUCAAGCAAAAAUCAAAGUUACAUUGGUUAAAUGUAGGUGACCAGAAUAACAAAAUAUUCCAUAGAGCGGCUGCUAUACGGGAAGCAAAAAAUAGUAUAAAGGAAGUUCUAUGCCAAGAUGGUCGGGUUCUAGUGCAAAAAGAUGACAUAAAAGCUAAGGCUGAGAGGUAUUUUCAGGAGUUUUUGCAACACGUCCCUAAUGAUUUUGCAGGAACUACGGUCGAGAAGCUUCAACAGCUUCUGCCUUUCCGUUGUUCUGAUCCAGAUCACCAAAAUCUCACUCGCGUUGUCUCAGGGGAAGAGAUCAAGAAGGUUUUGUUUGCCAUGCCGAAUGAUAAAUCUCCUGGGCCUGACGGGUAUACCUCAGAAUUUUAUAAAGCAUCUUGGGAGCUGAUAGGAAAGGAAUUUAUCCUGGCGGUUCAAUCUUUUUUUGUUAAGGGGUUUUUACCAAAGGGAAUCAAUUCAACAAUACUAGCACUCAUUCCCAAAAAAAAAAGGAGCUAGGCGAUGAAGGAUUUUCGACCUAUCUCCUGUUGUAAUGUGCUCUACAAAGUGAUUUCAAAAAUCAUUGCGAACCGGCUCAAAGUUAUUCUCCCAAGGUUUAUUUCUGGGAAUCAAUCGGCUUUUGUCCAAGACCGCCUCUUGAUCGAAAAUGUGUUUCUCGCCACUAUACUUGUUAAAGACUACCACAAGGACUCCGUCUCUUCUCGUUGUGCCAUAAAGAUUGACAUCUCCAAAGCUUUUGAUUCCGUUCAAUGGUCUUUUUUGAGUAAAGUACUCUCGGCUCUAAACUUCCUGCCAACUAUUAUUCACUGGAUUAUGCUAUGCGUUUCCACGACUUCUUUCUCGGUCCAGGUCAAUGGGGAACUAGCGGGAUAUUUCCGAAGCUCUAGAGGUUUGAGACAGGGCUGUUUUCUAUCUCCAUAUCUAUUUAUAAUAAGUAUGGAUGUGCUUUCAAAAAUGCUCGAUAAAGCCGCCGAGGACAGGAAAUUUGGAUAUCACCCACGGUGCAAGAAGUUGGGUCUCACUUAUUUGAGUUUUGCGGAUGAACUUAUGGUUCUAUCGGAUGGACGAGUGUGCUCUGUAGAAGGCAUUGUCAAGGUGUUUGAUGAUUUUGCCAAAUGCUCGGGUUUGAAAAUAAGCAUGGAGAAAUCCACUCUUUAUUUGGCUGGAAACAUGGCUGCAUCUACGGAAUAGUUAACAUCACUCUUUCCAUUUGAAGUAGGCCACCUACCAGUCCGUUAUCUAGGGCUCCCAUUGGUUACAAAGAGACUCUCAGCCGUGGACUAUAGACCUUUGAUUGAGCAGCUCCGGAAGAGAAUCGAGUCGUGGACCUCACGCUUUCUCUCUUUUGCAGGUCGACUGAAUUUAAUUUCCUCAAUCUUAUGGAGCAUAUGCAACUCUUGGUUAGCAGCCUAUCGACUACCAAGCGCAUGUAUCCGAGAAAUCGAAAAGCUCUGUUCCGCUUUUCUGUGGUCGGGUACUGAGCUAAAUUCACACAAGGCAAAGAUCUCUUGGGAUAAUGUAUGUAGACCAAAACAGGAAGGUGGUCUUGGACUGCGGUCGCUUAAAGAGGCAAACAUUGUUUGUUGUAUGAAACUUAUAUGGCGUAUAUACUCGCACAACAACUCUCUUUGGGUACAUUGGAUUCAGACAUUCCUCCUCAAGAAGACUUCUCUCUGAUCUAUAAACAAUGGUAACACAACGGGUUCAUGGAUAUUGAAAAAACUUUUCAAAUACAGAGCAAUGGCACAACCUUUUUGUAGAUUGGAAGUAGGAAAUGGGGAAAAGACUUCUUUUUGGUAUGAUAACUGGUCAUCAAUGGGUAGUCUGGUGGAUAGUGCAGCCAAUCGAGGCUUUAUAGACAUGGGGAUAAGUAAGAUGCGCUCUUUGGAGACUGCUUGGGCUAAUCGUCGAAGAAGAAGGCACCGUACGGCCCAUUUAAAUGCCAUAGAAGAAGAAAUCCACCAGAACUACCAAAAGAAAAAUGACAGAGAAGACAAAUUUCUUUGGAAGGGGAAGAAUGAUAUUUUUGGGCCAAAUUUCUCCACGAAAGAUACAUGGAACCAUAUUCGAACCACGGCCACCACAAUCUCAUGGCAUAGAGGAGUUUGGUUUGCACACGCAACACCAAAAUACUCUUUUUGUGUGUGGUUAGCAGCCCACAAUAGACUCUCGACGGGUGAUCGUAUGAUAAAAUGGAACCAAGGAGCCUCGGGAACUUGUGUACUUUGUCAAGACCAUUUGGAGACCAGAGAUCACCUCUUCUUCUCAUGUCAAUACGGCUCAAAAAUCUGGGAAGCUCUUGCAAAGGGACUUCUAAAAGCUAGGUACACAACAAACUGGCUCCUCAUUCUCGACUACAUCUGAAACGACCGGCUUGAUAGAGUGGAUGGAUUCCUUAUUCGAUAUGUUCUGCAAGUCGUAGUCUAUACGAUAUGGAAAGAACGGAAUGGGAGAAAACAUGGGGAGAGUCCGCAACUGGCAGAUUGUCUUAUAGCUUGGAUUGACAAGCAAGUAAGGAAUCGAAUUUCGACGAUUCGCAUAAAAGGAGAUAUGCGAUAUGAGGCAGCAUACCAAACAUGGAUCAACUCGUAUCUAAUUUUCUUUUCUACUUGAAUUUUCAAUGUUUUUUCCUCAGCUUUUCUCUUUUAGCAAACAGUUGCACAAGUUGUAAAAACGUUUAUUUUUUCUUUUGAAUAUAAUUUAAUAUUACAUUAAAAAAAAAAGAUAAUGUAAGAAUUAAUACGAAUGUGUCUUUGAAUAUCAAUGGAUUCGAAAAAAUAAUUUGUAGCUCGGAGAUCUUUGUUUUUGCGUAUCAACGGAUCACAAGAACUGAGAAAUCAACAACUUCAAAGUUUCUCUUUUAUUAAUCAAAAACAACCAACGAUUCCAAUACAAGAGUUAGAGUACAUAUACUAACUCUAAAGAAGAAUUAGAGUAUAUAUACUAACUCUGAAGAAAAUUCUAAUUGUCAAGACUUGGUGACAAAGCAUCUCAAAGCCAACAUAUUGUAUGUAAAACUCACACGUACUUAAGUAAAACCCCAAUAAUAAUAAUAAAUAAAUAAAUAAAUAAAAAACAGUAAACAAAAGCCUAAUUAUGAGAGGAGUAUAUAUGGAUGUCGCUACAUCAGAUUUUUUGGGGUAAGAGAAAAUUCGACAUUGAAUUUUCAUCUGAAUCAUCGGCCACCAAAAGGGAACAAAUAUUUAACCUUAAAAACGUCAGCCAUAUACAAAAUGUGGUGAACGAUGCAUAUAAACGUUGUUGUUUAUCUUCUCCAAGAUCUCAAGGGCCGAUCUUCCAUGAUUUCAAUUAGUUAUAAGUGUGAGCAGGAAUAUAUUAAUAAUGAGUACAACACAACUAAAAAUUAGAAUUCUCGUCUUUAGUGCAUUGUGUUAACAAAUCGUUUAUAUAUAUUUCUGAAAACUGAAAAUUAAAAAAAAAAACCAGAAAACUUAAAUUUUUUAUCUUUAGUGAAAAAUAAAACUUAUCGUUUAAUUUUGGUCCUUAAAAAACUAUUCCGCGUUAUUGGUACUCUCCAAAUUACAAGACCGAUUUGUUGGCUUGGAAAGUAUGAACCUCGUUUUACAGUUGUAGCUUUUUUCUCGGGUUUGGAUUACCCUUUCAGGCAUGAUAAGUAGAUAACAUACAUAACAAACCAACUAAUCUAUAAUCUAAUUCCACAAAUUAAACAAAAAAUCAAAAAUCAAAAAUAAAAAAUCGGAGCUGGAGCAGUCCGUUUCCAACGUAAUUGUUAUACUGAUCAAAUUAAAAUGUAAUUUGUCCUAUAAACACAAUAUCAUAGAUGAAAUUAUUUUAUCUUGAGGAACAAAUCCACUGUAUACAAUAAAUAAAGAUUUGUCCUGUCGCUAAUACAUGUUCCUAUCUCAAAGCUGAUGUGUAAGAAACAUGCACUUGAAUAAGCCAUGCAAAUUGAAAUGUGUCAAUUCCCUCCAUUAAUUAAUUUCCUUACAAUAUGAAGCCAAAAUCUAUUUUCCGAUGAAGACAUGAAAGUAGCAAUUUUAGUGAACUGUAAAUUGUACAUAGUCGAUUUUAUAUACCUGGUUCUUAUUUCAAUCAAUUUAUACUCAAAACCCCUAAACAAAAUUCCAGAAUAAAUCUCUUAUAAAUAGCUUCACGUAAUGCAAGUGAGAAACCACAAAAAAAAAGUAAGAAAAGAUAAAAAUGGCUCGAGUCUCUUCUCUUCUUUCUUUCUCCUUAACACUUUUGAUCUUUUUCGAUGGCUACGCGGCUCAACAGGGUCAGGAGGGUCAGCAGUUUCCAAACGAGUGCCAGCUCGACCAGCUCAAUGCGCUCGAGCCGUCACACGUACUGAAGAGCGAGGCUGGUCGCAUCGAGGUGUGGGACCACCACGCUCCUCAGCUCCGUUGCUCAGGCGUCUCCUUUGCACGAUACAUCAUCGAGUCUAAGGGUCUCUACUUGCCCUCUUUCUUCAACACCGCCAAGCUCUCUUUCGUGGCUAAAGGUACAUACGAUUAUUUCUAUAUCAAGAUUCGAAUGGUUCAUGCUCUUUUUGGAUUGGUUUACUCUUUUCUUUUCUAAAUUGAAACAUCCCUAAUUUUCUCUAUAUAUAUAUAUAUAUAUAUAUAUAUUAUAGAGCUAUAUAUGUAAUUUAUAUGUGUUCAACUGUAGGUCGAGGUCUUAUGGGAAAAGUGAUCCCUGGAUGCGCCGAGACAUUCCAAGACUCAUCAGAGUUCCAACCACGCGGAGGCGAGCAGUUCGAGGGUCAGGGUGAAGAAGGUCAAGGUCAAGGUGAAAGGCAAAGGUUCCGUGACAUGCACCAGAAAGUGGAGCACAUAAGGAGCGGUGACACCAUUGCCACAACACCCGGUGUAGCACAGUGGUUCUACAACGACGGACAGCAGCCACUUGUCAUCGUUAGCGUCUUCGAUCUAGCCAGUCACCAGAACCAGCUUGACCGCAACCC
rnacentral:lncRNA from 1 species